rnacentral:misc_RNA from 1 species
GAUGAAGAACGUAGCGAAAUGCGAUAAGUAAUGUGAAUUGCAGAAUUCAGUGAAUCAUCGAAUCUUUGAACGCACAUUGCGCCCGCCAGUGUUCUGGCGGGCAUGCCUGUUCGAGCGUCAUUACAACCCUCAGGCCCCCGGGCCUGGCGUUGGGGAUCGGCGGAAGCCCCCUGCGGGCACAACGCCGUCCCCCAAAUACAGUGGCGGUCCCGCCGCAGCUUCCAUUGCGUAGUAGCUAACACCUCGCAACUGGAGAGCGGCGCGGCCACGCCGUAAAACACCCAACUUCUGAAUGUUGACCUCGAAUCAGGUAGGAAUACCCGCUGAACUUAAGCAUAUCAAUAAGCGGAGGA